ACUGGUUGGGAUACAUAUGGCGGU
rnacentral:siRNA from 1 species